rnacentral:rRNA from 1 species
CAAUAGCGUAUAUUUAAGUUGUUGCAGUUAAAAAGCUCGUAGUCGGAUUUUGGCUGAGAACGAUCGGUCCGCCGUUAGGUGUGCACUGAUUGGUCUCAGCUUCCUGGUGAGGAGGUGUGCUUCACGGCCACUUAGUCACCGUGGUUACUUUGAAAAAAUUAGAGUGUUCAAAGCGGGCUUACGCUUGAAUAUAUUAGCAUGGAAUAACACCAUAGGACUCCUGUCCUAUUUCGUUGGUCUCGGGACGGGAGUAAUGAUUAAGAGGAACAGUUGGGGGCAUUCGUAUUUCAUUGUCAGAGGUGAAAUUCUUGGAUUUAUGAAAGACGAACUUCUGCGAAAGCAUUUGCCAAGGAUGUUUNCAUUG